AGCUGCCGAGUGAGAAGUCUGACUAUCCGGAGAUGGCGGUGAGUAUAGAGAAUUUCUGCUAGGUCUCCUGUGUUUCAGCCAUCCCAGCCCAGGCACCACGACACAUUAUCAAAGGACUAUCUUGGACCUUCUCAUCCCAGCAAACAUCCAAUGGAGAAGAAUGAAGACUCCAGGCAUAUGAUCCCACUCUAGCCAUCCCAGGAGCCCCCAGCUAUCCAAACAACUACAGCUGUGGCCAAAAACAUCGUGUAUCAGGGACAAACUCUCUGCUUAUGGCUGCUCUAAUCCUUGACCUACAGAAUCAUGAAAUUUGUGGAUACGGUCAUGAUCUUGAUUUUGGCGAUGGUUUCACAGGUCAGAUGUACGUGAUGGUUACCAUUAUAACUACAUACUAUGAAAGAUUAAUCAGUGGAAAAAAACAAGUUAAAGACACACAAAAAACUUCAGAGAAUCAACUUCUGGUCAAAAAAGCCCUCCUUUAGCCAACUCUAAACCUCAUUCAACCAAUAUUCUCUAUAGUCUUAGAAAGCAUUCAGAAGACAUAAUAUUUUUUAAGGACUUCAAGCAGCAAAUGGCAGAAGUGACAAGAAUUGAAAAUAGAGGAAAAUUUUGUUUUGUUUAAAGAAUUCUAAUUUUAAUAAUGGGAAGUAUGCAUCCAUAUUUAUGCCAGAUUCAUAUAUAUGAAAUAUAUAUAUAUAUAUAUAUAUAUAUAUUUCAUGUAAAUGUACUUUUGCUAAUGAAAUAGGAAUUCAGGACAAUAAGAAGGUCUAGAGGAAGCACCCUUUAUGAGUAAUUGGUUUCAAUGUUCGUAUUCUUGAUCUAAACAAUAAAAAAUCAAAACUGCAUUUUCUCAAUGAAUAUGUUUUUCUCUGUUUUAAGUCUCAAGAAGUUAUGGUAGAAAUGCUUUACAGAAAAUAUUUUUCAAGCCCGGCAUGGUGGCUCAUGCCUGUAAUCCCAGCACUUUGGGAGACUGAGGCAGGCAGAUCACUUGAGGUCAGGAGUUCAAGACCAGCCUUUCCAACAUGGUGAGAACUUGUCUCUACUAAAAAUAAAAAAAAAAAUUAGCCUGGCAUGGUGAUGCACACCUGUAAUCCCAGCUACUUGGGAGGCCGAGGCACGAGAAUCACUUGAACCCAGGAGGUGGAGGUUGCAGUGGGCUGAGAUGGCACCACUGCACUACAGCCUGGGUGACAGAGCAAGUAAGACUCUGUCUCAAGGAAAAAAAAAUCUUUUUCAUAUGAUAAUACUACAGCUAGAAAGCUAGAAUUCUUUCUUACUGAUUGUUAUAUUAAGUCCUUCCUGUUCACUAAACAUUACUAAGCAUGAAAAAAAUCUUUGUGCUGUGGUAAGAAUGCUGAAAAAUGUAUAAUUCAAAUCCAGAUAUAUGAAUAACAACUUCUCACUAUAGUUUGGAAAAUAAACUAGUAUUGGUAUAUUUUUUGUUUGUUUUAAAUAAACUCAUCACUGGAGUUCUAGUAAAUUUUGCUUCUAGACCAUGUGAAAAUUUUAAAUUAGAAGCUAUAUAGCAACUAAUUUUUUAAAUUAACAUAAAAAUUCUCAUUUAAAAUGUUCUGAAAAUUUUUAAACAUAUGCAGUUGCUGUAAUUUAAUACAUUCCUCUGUCUUCUACUGUCACUUAAUACAUUUCUCUGUCUUUUCUGUAUCCCUUGUUUCCCGGCAGUAACUCAUGCUUUCAAAAUAUCAGGAAGCAAAUGAGAAAAGGAAAAAAAGACAUUCAUUGUAUAUGGUAAGCCAAGUAAUGAACUAGCUAGAUAGUACCUCAGACACUGGAGGAAAAUGGCAUUGUUAACAUAAUUGUUUUUCCAGUUAAUAAUUAAUAUUGUAUAAUCUGACCUUAAUCUAUAGGCUUCUUUUUCAUUAUAAUCUCACCAGAAGUCCUUAAUUCUAUUCAAAUGUUACCUAUUUUAGAUGAUCUAUUGCCUCAUCCAAUGGCUCCCAGUUUCUCAAAUACACUAAAAUAAAUAGCUCUAGUUGGUGAUUUACUUAGAAAGAAAUGUUACCCCGUGGUCACUUAAAUCUAACAUCCUCAAAAAUUCUUUUUUUAUAUAAAGCUGUGAAGUAAUCCUGCCAAAGGACACUUUGGGCUCCGCAUGUACUGCUUCACCAAGUGCCAACAUAUACGUCUCCAGUGACUGCUGAUGGCUGAGUCUCCUUAUGUUAGUAAAUUUCUAAACAUUUUUCUUAGUACAUGGAGUAACGUGUUAUGUUGAUCAAUGUUUGAUGACACUUAAAUGUAACUACAAUGCAGUAAUUCGAAGGUAAGAAAAAGUUGCCAUGACUCUCAUUUCUUUGAAAUUGUGUACAAUGAAAGGCUUCUCAGCAUGAUACCCCAACUAAAAUUUAGGCGUAUGACAGCACUUAUAAGUAAAUCCAUUUUAUUUGAGUAAAUAUUGAGUUUCAUUUACCUUUUAGCAAAUUCCGAAGUAGCAUCUCCAUAAAUUUAAACUGAUUUUACUUAUUGAGUCCUAUUACUAACUUUAAAAGACAAUCUACUUUGGAUCAUUUUGAGCAUCACAUAUUGCUUACGUAAAAUAAGUUUAAAUCUGAGUCAAUAAUGAUACUAAGCAAACAAAUAAAAUCAUUGGUCACUGUAUUAAGUCUGUUUUCAUGCUGUUGAUAAAGACAUACCCAUGACUGGGCAAUUUACAAAAGAAAUGUUUAAUUGGACUUACAGUUCCACGUGUGGCUGGGGAAGCCUCACAAUCAUGGUGGAAGGCGAAAGGCACAUCUCACAUGAUAGCAGACAAGGGAAAAGAGCUUGUGCUGGGGAACUCCUUUUUUAAAACCAUCAGAUCUCGUGACACUUAUCUACUAUCAGCACGGGAAAGACCUUCCCCCAUGAUUCAAUUACCUUCCACCAGUCCCUCACAUAAUAUAUGAGAAUUCAAGAUGAGAUUUGGGUGGGGACACAGCAAAACCAUAUCAGUCACCUUUGGAGAAUACUAGAGAAUUAACUAACUAUUCUGAAAAUCAGUAAUUAAAGGGAAAGAAGCAAACAUUUUUUCUGUCUUUCCAUAAAAAAUUGUACUUUGAACAACCAAAUGGGUGAUAAUGAAAGAAAGUUCCUCUUUAUAAAAGUAACUGAAGAGGCCAGGCGUGGUGGCUCAUGCCUGUAAUCCCAGCACUUUGGGAGGCCGUGAUGGGCAGAUCACUUGAGCCCAGAAGUUUGAGACCAGCCUGUGCAACAUAUCUAGACCCUGUCUUUAAAAAGAAAGAAAAAAUUUAAAACAGUAACUGAGCAUCAGCUAUUGUGGGCACACUGCCUAUGGGUAGCCCUGCUCCACAAGGAGCAGUUAAAAAAAAAAGUAACUCAGUAGAUAAAUGAGAAAGGAAUGAUAAUUACAAUAACAAGAUGUGGCAAUCCUGAUUUAAUUAAUGAAUCUAAGCAAAAAGCAAUGGCUUUGAAUAGAACACAGAAAAGAAACAACUAAAUAUUAUGUGCCUCCUGGUUGAAAUAUACACAAUUAUCUAUGAUUUCAUCUUUUGAACCUGAAUCUGAUCAAGCCUCUAGAUCUAUUCAUCAAUUUAUAUAAAACACAAGAGACACAGAAAAGACAAAGGAAUGUACUAAACUACAGCAUGAGGUACAAUCAAGCAAAAUUCAUACCAUGGAAACUAUAGAACAAACAAUUUAGUUUCUUGCAGAAAUAAAUUGCAAGGGAAAAAUAAAGACAUGGUUAAAGACACUUCGGAGAUAUGCUUACCAGAUGCAAUUUAUGGAUGUGUAUUAGCGUUCUCCAGAGAAACAGAACCAAGAGGAUAUAUAUGGGUAUAUAAGAGGGAAUUUGUUAUGGAAGCCAGCUCACAUGAUUAUGGAGGGUGAGAAGUUCCACAACAUCCCAUCUGCAAGCUGUACAACCAAGGAAGCCAAUGUUGUAAUUCAGUCUGAGUCCGAAGGCCAGAGAAACUGGGGCCAUUGGUGUAAUCUUGGAGUCUGAAAGCUCAAUGAAGUCAGGAGAAGAUGGAUGUCCCAGCCCCAAGAGGGAGAGAAUUUGCCCUUCUCUUUUUAUUCUAUUGGAACCCUUAACAGAUUGGAUGAUGCCUGUCCAUAUUGAUGAGGGUGGUUCUUCUGUACUCAGUUUACUGCUUCAAAUGCUAGUCUCUUCUGAAAAUUCUCUCACAGACCCACCCAGAAAUGUUUUACCAGCUAUCUGGCUAUCCCUUAACCCAGUCAAGUUGACACAUAAAAUUAACCAUCACAGAAUGUUAUUUGGAUUCAGAUUUUAAUCAACAAAGUGUGAAAAAGUAAUAAGAUUAUUGGAGAAAUUUGUGUGUUGGCUGGAUAUUUAAUGAUGACAAGAAAGUUUUCAUUUUUGCAGGUGUGCUAAUGGUAUUGUGGGUUUUGUUGAGUCUUUAUCUUCUAAAAAUACUUCCUAAAAUAGUUACAGAAGAAAAGAUUUAUAAUCUGAAAUUUGCUUCCAAAUUAUCCAAGAGUCUGGUGUUGGGGUUGGGGACUGAGUGGAAGUACAGACAAGGCAAUCUUGGCCAUGGGUUCAUGCCCAAAUUUCUUAUUCUUAUUAUAAGGACACCAAUCAGAUUAGAUCAUGGACCACUCUAAUGGCCUGAUUUUAACUUAAUCACCUUUAAAGUUCUCUUUCCAAAUACAGUCACAUUCUGAGGUACUGGGGGUUAAGGCAUUAGUGGGAAUUUGCAGGGACAUAAUUCAGUUCAUAACAAGUCCAUUCAGAAUCUUGCUCUGUUUAUUUGUGAUAUCAAUGCCAUAUAAACUGCUUAAAAUGGUUACCUUCAAUAUUGGCUCAAAAGCUAAACUUUGUAAGCUCCUGGCAUUAAUCACCAUGCUAUACUUUGCAAAGUCCACAGCCAAACAAUCCUAACCACUCCUUCACUUUCAGACUAAUUCUAUAGUUCUAUUUUCUCCAAUAUGGUAGUCACACAUGAACUAGUAAACACUUGAAAUGUGGCUGAUCCAAACUGAGAUGUGUUGUAAGUAUACAUUACACUGGAUUUCAAAGACUUAGCAAGAAAAAAAGAAAGAUAUCUCGUUACUAGUUUUUGUAUUGAUUACAUGUUGAAAUGAUAGUUUGGAUAUACUAAAUUAGAUUAUUAAAGUUAAUUUCAGCUGUUCCUUCUUCCUUAAAAAAUAUGGCUAGUAAAUAACUUUAAAAUUAUGUGCUCACUUUAUAUUUCUAUUGGAUGGCACUUUUCAAAAGUACAGGUACCUGUCAUUUGACCUAAGAUUCGCUUCAAAGACUUUCUUUGACUUCCAAUUUAUAACUCUCCCCAAUAAUCCCUUUCCUUUUUGCACCACACAUUUAAUAACCUAGGUGCAGAAUUCUAGCGCUAUAUGCAGUCCUUAAUUCACAUUUCAAACCUGAAGAACAUGUGCCUACUUCUCAGGCAGACAACAUGUAAUGCUAACUGAAAAAAUGUCACUGAAAUUUGUUAUAUUUAUUGAAAUCCUAAGUGAUGGAUAGUUCUGUUGCCUUUUACCAUUUCCAAGGAAAAAGAGAAGCUAUAAUAAUAGCAAUUGACAAAGAUACUCUCAUUUUUCCUUUACCAGUGGUACUAGAUAUUCUCAGGCUGCCGCAGUGGCUUACACCUGUAAUCUCAACACUUUGGGAGGCCAGUGUGGGAGGAUCACUUGAGUCCAGGAGUUCAAGACCCCAUCUCUACAAAAAAAUAAAAAAAAUUGGCUGGGUAUGGUGGUACACGCCUGUAAUCGCAGCUACUUUGGAGGCUGAGGUGGGAGGAUCACUUGAGUCUCAGAGGUCGAGGCAGCAGUGAGCCAUGAUUGCACCACUGCACUCCGGCCUGGGCGAUAGAGUGAGACUCUAUUUCAAAAAUAAAUAAAUAAAUAAUGUAAAAAAGAUACUCUCAUAUUUCAUUUAUAAACAACACUAGAAAAAGUCUUAUGCCCCAAUUUUACCAAAACACUAGAACUGGGCUUAAUACAGAUUUCUAGAAAUUUUUGCAAUACUUACAUAUUUGCAGCUGCUAAAUUUUGUGACAAAGAUAAAUACUUCAUUUUGCUUAAAAGUUGAUGCUGAGAGGAGGAAUUGUAGUUAGGAGUAUUUCAGCAUCAGUAAUUUUUUACUUUUUCAGGAACAUAAAAUAUGAUUAACAUCCACUGCUUGUAUUUCUUGGCAGGCUCAGUUGUAUCUUACCCAGAUUUUCAUUUUAGUACAAUUAAUCCAUACAGGUUUAAUUAGGUAGAUUUAAAUGCUUAUCAAAUGAGUAUACUUAUUUGGCAGCACAACAGUGGCUCGAAACCUACAGGAUUAAAAACUUUGCAUUUUGGCUUAUCAUCUAUAUCCCUGAAUGAUAGUUUCCACAAUCAUCAAAGUAAUCUUUAAGAAUUGCCAAGAAAUCAAAUAAUGAAAAUGUCUGUUUUUAAAAUAAUUUUAAGGCACUGAAAUAGGAAAAAAAAGGUUUUUGGAGAGUCAAGUUUUUAUCAAGACUCCUUGUAAUUAGAUCUCUUUUUCACAUCCUUAAUUUUGAUUGUCUCCUGUAAAAUUAUCCUUAUUAAGUCAACAUAGAAUCUCAGAAUAAUUAUUUUUAUAGUUGAAGUAUCCUUCCAAACAUUUCCUCAAGCAGUACUUUUGCAGCAUUUUGGGGUAAUUGGAUUACCCAUUUGGAGGAUUGAGAUGGAGGAAAAAGGGGAGAGGGAGAGUACCCUGUUACAGAGAAAGCAAAAUACUAUAGAAGUGGAUUGCUGAAUAUCUUGUUCCUUGAAUGCACUUCAACACUGCACAUUAGUAAGCAUUAUAAAGAAUCAAUGCAAACAUUAAUUUAGCUUUCUCAACAUUACAGUCUGUAAAUGAAAUUCUUUAGAUUUAAAUUGAUUACUAUAAAAGGUUUACUUUUUUUCCCUUCUUGUAUUUCCAAGGGCAUACUAUGCCACUUAGCUGUGUAUUUAACUUCAUUUAGCCUCUAUCAAGGACCUGAAACAAAAUGCUUAUAAAGAAUGCUAUUUUGUCUUGGCGCGGUGGCUCACGCCUCUAAUCCCAGAAUUUUGGGAGGCAGAGGUAGGCCUGCUUAGGCUGGAAGUUCGAGACCAGCCUGGCCAACAUGGCAAAACCCCGUCUCUACGUAGAACACAAAAAUUAGCUGGGAAUGGUGGUGCAUGCCUGUAAUCCCAGCUAUUUGGGAGGCUGAGGCACAAGAAUUGCUUGAACCCAGGAGGUUGCAGUGAACUGCACUCCAGCCUGGGCAAGAGUGAGACCCUGUCUCAAAAAAAAAAAAAAAAAAAGCUCCUAUUUUGAUACUGGAUGGUUGUUAACUUUGUAAUGUGGAGUUUGAGACCAUAAUUACCCCAGAAUUCUAUAAAGAGUUACACAGUUUAUUUUUGAACAUUCAAAUUUCAAGUCUCAUAAGCAAAAAUUUAAAAAAAUGUUUCAUUUACAUUUUCAACACCAAUCUAUAAAGAAUUUUCUUUCUUAAGAAUGAAAUACAACUUAUAUAUCUAAAUAUGGGGCUUCCCUUACAGUGGUCUUGAAAGGUUUAUUCAUUAAUUUAGUUGAUGCUUUUAAGAUUCAAAGUAUUUUUAGAAUUUAACAAGAAAUGCCUAUUAUCCAGAAGACAGUUUUUCUAAAUGAUGCCAAAUCCUCAUCUUUUGAGAAAAGGUAUGGCUUACAGUAAGUCAUUAUCACUCAAAGUAUUAGGCAAGAGAUCAAACUAUGUAUUAUCAUUUUUUCUUAAAUAUGAGCCAUAACUAUAAAUAAGGAGUGAUUUCCAUAUGUCUCUGAAAGAGAAAUUUCAGAGAACCUUUUGGGUUGAAUAAAUUCCAGACAAAAAAUUGAUCUGUUUCACCUACCUACAACUUAAAUGAAGAACAUAUGUAAACAAGUAACACUGAAAAGAUUGCUUUUUAUAAUUCAUUAGUGAUUGGCAUGUUACUAAAGGUAAAAUAGAAAAAAAGAUAAUCUCAUCAGUUUUAGUCAACUACACCCAAGUAUAUCUAUUGAAUACUUUUAAAAUAUUGAAAACAUAUAGGAAAUCCUAAAGUUGUUGAAAUUGACACCUAAUCUUUUAAAAGUAUUUAUUUUCCAUUUUCAGAAUAGCAUUCUUGAGUAUAAUUUAAAAAGAGUGCUGGAACUUGAAUCCCCAACAGGGGGGACUGGAACAUUUACAGAUUAAAAGCAUUUUAAAAUUCCUGUGUGGCACACUCUACUUUCAUAGGAUGUGGAGAGGGGAAAAAAAUGCUCAAUAUGCAGUGAAUGA
rnacentral:lncRNA from 1 species